CCCAGACUCCUACGGGAGGCAGCAGUGGGGAAUAUUGCACAAUGGGGGAAACCCUGAUGCAGCGACGCCGCGUGAGCGAUGAAGUAUUUCGGUAUGUAAAGCUCUAUCAGCAGGGAAGAAAAUGACGGUACCUGACUAAGAAGCCCCGGCUAACUACGUGCCAGCAGCCGCGGUAAUACGUAGGGGGCAAGCGUUAUCCGGAUUUACUGGGUGUAAAGGGGGCGCAGACGGCGAUGCAAGCCAGGAGUGAAAGCCCGGGGCCCAACCCCGGGACUGCUCUUGGAACUGCGUGGCUGGAGUGCAGGAGGGGCAGGCGGAAUUCCUGGUGUAGCGGUGAAAUGCGCAGAUAUCAGGAAGAACACCGGUGGCGUAGGCGGCUUACUGGACGGCAACUGACGCUGAGGCUCGAAAGCGUGGGGAGCAAACAGGAUUAGAUACCCCCGUAAUA
rnacentral:rRNA from 1 species